UACGAAGGGGGCUAGCGUUGCUCGGAAUCACUGGGCGUAAAGGGCGCGUAGGCGGGUGCUCAAGUCUGUGGUGAAAUCCUCCGGCUCAACCGGAGAACGGCCAUGGAUACUGGGUGUCUCGAGGGUGAUAGGGGUAUGCGGAACUAUCGGUGGAGCGGUGAAAUGCGUUGAUAUCGAUAGGAACUCCGGUGGCGAAGGCGGCAUACUGGAUCACUUCUGACGCUGAGGCGCGAAAGCCAGGGGAGCGAACGGG
rnacentral:rRNA from 1 species